AUACUUACCUGGCAGAGGAAACACCAUGAUCAUGAACAUGAUUUUCCAGAGCAAGGCUUACUCAUUGCUUUUUAAGUAUGCUGACUCCUGCGAUUUCCCCAAAUGUGGAAAACUUAACUGCACAAUUUGUGGUAGUGGGGGACUGUGUUCUUUGUGCUUUCCCCAG